rnacentral:rRNA from 1 species
GGCUUAGAGUUUGAUCAUGGCUCAGAUUGAACGCUGGCGGCAUGCUUUACACAUGCAAGUCGAACGGCAGCAUGGAGAGCUUGCUCUCUGAUGGCGAGUGGCGAACGGGUGAGUAAUACAUCGGAACGUGUCCUGUUGUGGGGGAUAACUACUCGAAAGAGUAGCUAAUACCGCAUAAGACCUAAGGGUGAAAGCGGGGGACCUUCGGGCCUCGCGCAGUUGGAGCGGCCGAUGACUGAUUAGCUAGUUGGUGGGGUAAAGGCCUACCAAGGCGACGAUCAGUAGCUGGUCUGAGAGGACGACCAGCCACAUUGGGACUGAGACACGGCCCAAACUCCUACGGGAGGCAGCAGUGGGGAAUUUUGGACAAUGGGGGCAACCCUGAUCCAGCCAUGCCGCGUGCGGGAAGAAGGCCUUCGGGUUGUAAACCGCUUUUGUUAGGAACGAAAAGGUAUCUGUGAACAACAGGUAUUGCUGACGGUACCUAAAGAAUAAGCACCGGCUAACUACGUGCCAGCAGCCGCGGUAAUACGUAGGGUGCGAGCGUUAAUCGGAAUUACUGGGCGUAAAGCGUGCGCAGGCGGUUGGGUAAGACAGGUGUGAAAUCCCCGAGCUUAACUUGGGAACUGCACUUGUGACUGCUCAACUAGAGUAUGUCAGAGGGAGGUG